rnacentral:rRNA from 1 species
GACGAACGCUGGCGGCGUGCUUAACACAUGCAAGUCGAACGGAAAGACCCUGCUUUUGUGGGGUGCUCGAGUGGCGAACGGGUGAGUAACACGUGAGUAACCUGCCCUUGACUUUGGGAUAACUUCAGGAAACUGGGGCUAAUACCGGAUAGGAGCUCCUGCUGCAUGGUGGAGGUUGGAAAGUUUCGGCGGUUGGGGAUGGACUCGCGGCUUAUCAGCUUGUUGGUGGGGUAGUGGCUUACCAAGGCUUUGACGGGUAGCCGGCCUGAGAGGGUGACCGGCCACAUUGGGACUGAGAUACGGCCCAGACUCCUACGGGAGGCAGCAGUGGGGAAUAUUGCACAAUGGGCGGAAGCCUGAUGCAGCAACGCCGCGUGCGGGAUGACGGCCUUCGGGUUGUAAACCGCUUUCGCCUGUGACGAAGCGUGAGUGACGGUAAUGGGUAAAGAAGCACCGGCUAACUACGUG